AGCGGACAGAUGGGAGCUUGCUCCCUGAUGUUAGCGGCGGACGGGUGAGUAACACGUGGGUAACCUGCCUGUAAGACUGGGAUAACUCCGGGAAACCGGGGCUAAUACCGGAUGGUUGUCUGAACCGCAUGGUUCAGACAUAAAAGGUGGCUUCGGCUACCACUUACAGAUGGACCCGCGGCGCAUUAGCUAGUUGGUGAGGUAACGGCUCACCAAGGCGACGAUGCGUAGCCGACCUGAGAGGGUGAUCGGCCACACUGGGACUGAGACACGGCCCAGACUCCUACGGGAGGCAGCAGUAGGGAAUCUUCCGCAAUGGACGAAAGUCUGACGGAGCAACGCCGCGUGAGUGAUGAAGGUUUUCGGAUCGUAAAGCUCUGUUGUUAGGGAAGAACAAGUGCCGUUCAAAUAGGGCGGCACCUUGACGGUACCUAACCAGAAAGCCACGGCUAACUACGUGCCAGCAGCCGCGGUAAUACGUAGGUGGCAAGCGUUGUCCGGAAUUAUUGGGCGUAAAGGGCUCGCAGGCGGUUUCUUAAGUCUGAUGUGAAAGCCCCCGGCUCAACCGGGGAGGGUCAUUGGAAACUGGGGAACUUGAGUGCAGAAGAGGAGAGUGGAAUUCCACGUGUAGCGGUGAAAUGCGUAGAGAUGUGGAGGAACACCAGUGGCGAAGGCGACUCUCUGGUCUGUAACUGACGCUGAGGAGCGAAAGCGUGGGGAGCGAACAGGAUUAGAUACCCUGGUAGUCCACGCCGUAAACGAUGAGUGCUAAGUGUUAGGGGGUUUCCGCCCCUUAGUGCUGCAGCUAACGCAUUAAGCACUCCGCCUGGGGAGUACGGUCGCAAGACUGAAACUCAAAGGAAUUGACGGGGGCCCGCACAAGCGGUGGAGCAUGUGGUUUAAUUCGAAGCAACGCGAAGAACCUUACCAGGUCUUGACAUCCUCUGACAAUCCUAGAGAUAGGACGUCCCCUUCGGGGGCAGAAUGACAGGUGGUGCAUGGUUGUCGUCAGCUCGUGUCGUGAGAUGUUGGGUUAAGUCCCGCAACGAGCGCAACCCUUGAUCUUAGUUGCCAGCAUUCAGUUGGGCACUCUAAGGUGACUGCCGGUGACAAACCGGAGGAAGGUGGGGAUGACGUCAAAUCAUCAUGCCCCUUAUGACCUGGGCUAC
rnacentral:rRNA from 1 species